AUAUCUCAUUGAGAUCAGUAACAAGGCGAUACGUGAAUGGAAAAAACAAAAUUGCAUCUUUAAGAACUUGUCUGGAUUGUUAUUUUUAAUAGUAAGAUGAAAGAGAGGUGUCAGAGGGUGCAUAUAUUU
rnacentral:snoRNA from 1 species